AUUUAAAAAAAAAAAAAAUCCCACAGUUUUAUUCUUCUCCCCUCCCCCGGCCUCAAGCCAAGAACCAAACCAGCCUACCAAGAAGAUCCGACUGACUGGUAUGGGCCAGUGCCCUCUUUUCACUCACAGUCCUCAGGGGCAACAACUCUCCCCGGUGCAUUAGGUCCUAGAAACCAAAUUAUAGGCUGCCUCAUAAAUAGAGCUUGGCUAUUUAAUCAACUGCCCCUGAGCUGGCAAACAGUCCUGAGUCCUGCACACAAAUGAGGAUUUUUUUACAUGCCAUUACUCUGCCAUUUUCCUUAGAGCUGGGGUGUAAUGGGAAACCUGGAGCCCAGUGAAAAUCUGGAAGCUAGAAUGGAUUUCUCUCCAAAGAAAGCCCUCAUCCCCUUUCUUCAAUGGCUGUGAAAUAUGGAAAGCGCCAAAAAUCUCCUUCCCUACACGUGGGCAAGCUGUUUUGAAAACAGUCACCAUUUUUCUCUAGCAAUAAGGCAGCUCAGGAAUCCCGGCGCAGAUUGGAGAACUAGGACUAGGACAGCGCUACCCUCGCGAAAGCACCUCGGCCAACAGCCUGAUGGCAAAUAUGGACUGAAUCGUUGACAUGGAAACCGGACUAAAGUCUCGCUAGCUCUCCCUCACAGGAGAGUUCUUAUCGCCGUCCCCGACCGCACGGCACUUAGCAAACGCGGACUGGAUUUGAGGCCUGGAGGAUCAGGCGGAGUUUCUGGGCGUAUUAACUCCAGCGGCAGAGCAGCCAAGGAAGGGGGCAGGGCUGCCAGGACAAACCGGCUGAAAAUGGCAGAGGAUGUGCUCCCAUUUUAUCCGGCUGCACAGCGUGCAUGGAUUGGGCCCGAGGACAAGGGAACAACCUAUUAAAAUCCAGAGAGUCAACUGCAAAAUGUGGAACCGAGGCCUGGAGGGUUUGCUAGGAGAGGGAAACGUUUGCAGGGAAGACAGCCCUUCCUUUCUCGCAAUUUGCUUCCCCUAAAUGUCUGAAAUACAAAACUCAACAAACAAACAGAAGAUCGGGCUCGGCUCCUUCCUCCACCCAAUCCUUGUGGGAGAAGUCGUCUUAAGCCCAGGGACCCUAGCGAGGGUUUGCUUAGAUUCCUAACUAAGGCGUGGAGAAUCGCUGGAGCGCCAGGUUGUUGCCCCCACACGUUCCCGCCGCGGAACAGCAGCAGACACCCAGCAGAGCUCUCUCGAGUGCGAACUGGAGCUGCGAGUUUGAGCAAAAGGGCAACUAUGUCAGUUGACGGAAGCCAGAAGCAGAGUUCAAAGCCUGGCGUGGAUUUCCGUCUGGAGCUGUCUGUUCUUAAAGUUUGUAACUCCGUGUUAAGAAACAGCCCCAGCGGAGGCUUUGGGAUCGGUGUGAAAGUCUAGCACUACCAUCUGACAGCGAGCUGCAAAACUUUGGGCUGCAUAUUAAGCGAGGAAAGUGGAUUGAAGCGAGAGUCAAGGCAAUUCAUUAUGUUACCGGCUCCCAUACGGGAGCUGUAAAAUACGAACUGGAUGCACACACGGAGAAAAAUGGAAUGAACUCGGAAUGGCAUUCAACAGCUCUUCGCGGUAAAACUGUGACUGCCAAGGAUCUAGAAUCCCAAAGGAGCAAACCAGGAGGCCUCAAACUUGGUUGGCACACAAUAAAUGCUUUUCUAGAUCUUUUCCCCACUCAUCUCAAACUCUUAAGCAAUUUGGGGUCAUUUAUAUUUCAGAAUAAGGAACACAUUUUGAGAAAUGUUAAUUUCUGAAUGAGACUUUUUUUCCCCAAAGUAGCUGUGAAAAAAAGAGCCUCAGGCAUAAGUCAGCCAGCUUAUUUUGUCUCAAUAUAAAUUAAAAAUUACCCUCACCACCACCUCCACCAAAACUGAAAUAAAAAAUAAAAUAAGUAAAAGU
rnacentral:lncRNA from 1 species